rnacentral:ncRNA from 1 species
UGGGUAGUAUCAAGAUAGAACUACACCAGACUUUUUAUUAUUUAAUAAUACAACUCAUAUCUAGUAUAUUGAAUGAGAUUGAAAU